GUAAUACUUCUAUUAGGAGUAGCAUUUUACUGUACUUUUUAUGUCCUGGUAAUUGCAUUGUCAGUGCUAACUUGUAAUUGUAUUGAUUGUGUCCAGAUUGUUUAGGUUCACAGGAAAUUAAUUGAAGCUUGGUCCAUUGGAUUCUGAGACAUGACCACUGAGACGACUGGGCCAAUGGUUGCUCAUACACGCUACUACUACUAAUCUACAAUUAAAGUGUUGCAAGUGUGCUGUUCUUGCAGCUCCAUUCGUGUUGUAUUUGUAUAUACUAGUUCAAGGGGAAAUGCCUGUGAUUGUGAAUUAAUCAUGCAUGCACAAUGUCGAAUUACUGCAGUUCGCCUACCUGAUUAAUUUAAUACAGUCACCUGAAUUUAGUU
rnacentral:sRNA from 1 species